rnacentral:rRNA from 2 species
AGAGUUUGAUCCUGGCUCAGAACGAACGCUGGCGGCAGGCUUAACACAUGCAAGUCGAGCGCCCCGCAAGGGGAGCGGCAGACGGGUGAGUAACGCGUGGGAACAUACCCUCCGGUACGGAAUAACUCAGGGAAACUUGUGCUAAUACCGUAUACGGCUGGAAGGCGAAAGAUUUAUCGCCGGAGGAUUGGCCCGCGUCCGAUUAGCUAGUUGGUGAGGUAAUGGCCCACCAAGGCGACGAUCGGUAGCUGGUCUGAGAGGAUGAUCAGCCACAUUGGGACUGAGACACGGCCCAAACUCCUACGGGAGGCAGCAGUGGGGAAUAUUGGACAAUGGGCGAAAGCCUGAUCCAGCCAUGCCGCGUGAGUGAUGAAGGCCUUAGGGUUGUAAAGCUCUUUCACCCACGACGAUAAUGACGGUAGUGGGAGAAGAAGCCCCGGCUAACUUCGUGCCAGCAGCCGCGGUAAUACGAAGGGGGCUAGCGUUGUUCGGAAUUACUGGGCGUAAAGCGCGUGUAGGCGGGCGUUUAAGUCAGAGGUGAAAUGCCAAGGCUCAACCUUGGAACUGCCUUUGAUACUGAAUGUCUUGAGUCCGGGAGAGGUGAGUGGAACUGCGAGUGUAGAGGUGAAAUUCGUAGAUAUUCGCAAGAACACCAGUGGCGAAGGCGGCUCACUGGCCCGGAACUGACGCUGAGACGCGAAAGCGUGGGGAGCAAACAGGAUUAGAUACCCUGGUAGUCCACGCUGUAAACUAUGGAUGCUAGCCGUUGGGGAGCUUGCUCUUCAGUGGCGCAGCUAACGCUUUAAGCAUCCCGCCUGGGGAGUACGGUCGCAAGAUUAAAACUUAAAGGAAUUGACGG